rnacentral:rRNA from 1 species
UACAGAGGGGGCAAGCGUUAUUCGGAAUUAUUGGGCGUAAAGGGCGCGUAGGCGGCAUCGCAAGUGGAAGGUGAAAUCCCUCGGCUUAACCGAGGAACUGCCCUCCAAACUGCGUUGCUUGAGGCCGGGAGAGGGAUGCAGAAUUCCAGGUGUAGCGGUGAAAUGCGUAGAUAUCUGGAGGAAUACCGGUGGCGAAGGCGGCAUCCUGGACCGGCAUUGACGCUGAGGAGCGAAAGCUAGGGGAGCAAACGGG